GGAGAUGAUCGAUUAUUUUAGCCUCAUUCCUUCCUUUUUCAGUAUUCUCUUACCCAUGUUCGUCAGCCAAUUUUCAUGCUCGAAUACACCUAGAUCCGAGCCUUAGAUCGAAAAACAUUCUUCAUCAAAGUUGUUCUUCAUCGUCGUGUCUAUAACAUAUCCGAAAAUCAGCUCAAUCGGAUUUGUAUUGAGCAAACGUGAAAGUUACUCAAGGGGGAGAUCAAUUGGAGCAAGCUGCUGAGGCCCAUGAUACUGCAAAAACCACCUGAUAAGCUUGAGGUGGCUCACUCUAUUUGUAAAUAGCUUCUGGUCUAAAGCUAAUUUUUGGUGGCAUUGCUACGUGGAGAAUCCUCUUGACUAGGAGAGAUUGUGGGUGAACUUUGUUCAUAAUUUGAGAAGUUCUUGCAAAGGCUAGGUUGCUGUACGUA